GCACUAGAAAAUAAUACAUUAAAACUGCCACUCAUAAUAGUGAAUAAUUUCCCCACCACACCCCAAGAGGAGGAGUAUGACCCAUCCAUUGAACAGGAUUGAGAAUGGAAUUUCCCUGAAUAUAUGUACAAGAUAUUGAAAGUAAGGGCAAAAGUAGCAGGUGCGAGGUGUUUGCAAACAUCACGAUGGAAUCUCAGAAAUUUUCUUACAAUUACCAUUUGUUCAGUCUUUCAGAGGAAGAGAAAAUAGCUUGUGUAGCUUUUAUCCAAAACAGAGUGGAAAGACAUAAUAUUCCCAUAAUCAAUGGUGGGUGUGCUUUUAUUUUUGUUAUAUUGUGGAUGGAAACGCAUUUCCUUCUCAACCAGUGUUUCUGGAAUUUAGCUUGGGAUGCCAAAAACUAAAAACAAAUUAUUGCUGCAAAGCAAGCCAUGAAGAAAUGUAUCAUAACACAUAUACAUGGGCACCCAUAAUAGCAUAUAGCAUAAAUACCUGCAUCAUUCAAGCCAUUGCCACAGUUUGGAGAGUUACUACACAAUACAUCCGUUGAGUGAGUAACCUCACACUGGAGAUGAUCUACAAAAUUGAACAACGUAAAUCGCCCCCUACCUUUCAGCUCAAAUUUACGUAACUAUAAAUAUAGCUUUGGCACAGUUGAUAUCAAAAACACAGGCAAUAUGGCAUUAGGAUACACUUGCUACAGUACACACUAGUUUCUAUUCUUGUACACACAUAUUAAGCCCAUAAGAAAAAAGAAUGGACCAAGCUAUGUAUUUCAUUAGAUAUAUUUUCUCUAAUAUAUAGGUAUAUAAAUUUAAGCUAGAUGAUGAUUGAACCUUGAUUAAGAUUUGCUCUUGAACCUCCUUUGAGCUUUCAAGUCCACCACAAUCACUGAGAUAUUAUCCUUGCUUCCUUUUUGCAGCGCGAGCAUUGAAAGGUACUCAGCUGCUGCUUGAGAUGCCGGAUCAAUUUCUUUGCCCCUUUCAUCCAGAGAUGUAACUCCAUUCUUUUUGUGCCAGAGCAAAAUCUUCUUUCGAGCCACUUCACAGGCUUCAUCAUCUGUCAUGACAUCCCACAAGCCAUCACUUGCUAAAAUAAGGCAUUCGUCAUCUCUAGCUCGAGGAAUAAACAUGACUUCUGGGUCAGGAAUAAUCCACGGUUUCAAAUAUCUAUCACCUGUUAGAUACAAAAGAGGAAGCAAGUAAAAGCAAAUGUCAGAGCUGAACACCUUCGAUGGAUUUAAAAAUAUGGUUAAUUAUGAAGCUACAGCGUCAUUGCAAAAAUUCCUGUAAAAAAUGGGUAUACAUGUGUUCAGACAAGGCACGUCAAUAUAACAUAAAAAGCAAUAAUCCAGAUUUUUACUUUGUUUUCAUUUGUUCACUUUGCAUUUUGGUGUCUUAAUCAGCAAGAUCAAUAGUUGUAGAAGCAAGCUGCAUAAUACAAAGUUGCUUCAACUUGAACAGAAUUAACAUUUGAGCCAAAAAUGGAGGGCGCCUACCAAUUGACCUAGACAUAGCAAGAACACCAAAAACACGAUGUCCAUUCCAUGGAAUCACCUUGCCCCCAGAAGCCUCAAUCCUUGCAUACUCAUCUUCUCUGUUUGGUUUAUGAUCAACAGACAAUGCCAUUGACUCUUUUCCACGAUAAAGCACUGCUCUUGAAUCACCACAAUUUGCAACUAUGAUAUGGGAUGAACAUACCAAGGCAACCACAGCAGUAGAUCCAACUGUUUCUGGUGCCAACGGCUCAAAAGCAGCAUCAGAAGCGUCACCAUGGCCUUCAAUGGUGCUUCUGGUACCUUUUCCUCCAAUCUCUUCAUCAACGUUAAGAAAGCAUCUAGUGAAGGCUUUUUCCCACUGCACCUGCUGGUGUACUUCCAUGCUCGCAUCAAUUAAAUCAUUUUUAACAUUUGCAAUCUCUUCAGCCAAGGCCCAAUGGAUUCGGUCACGACAGUAGUUAGCAACCUGAGUGCCCCCAUGGCCAUCAUAAACACCAUAAAAAUGACUCGUUAGAUCGGUCAAACUCUCACUUAAUCCAUCAACAAAACGGUCACCAAUAAGCAUCUUGAUAGGAAUUUUUACAAACCGAGGGAUAGCUGUAACAGCGUCUUCCAUUUCUGGUCUUCUGCCACAAAUUGAUACAGAACCCCAAAGGGGUAUGCAAUCAAGUUCAAACACACUCCGUGUAGUUCCUUUGCUGAGAUUCUUCUCACUGGGCAACUUAAGAACCACUGCAGAUGCCCUUAAAUCAGAGCCAUCAGAGAUAUCAGCAUUUGAGCUCACUGCUGCAAUAAGAAGUUUUGCCGUAGGCACCUGCACCUCAUUUGAUGACUCCACAAUUAUAGCCUUAGCAAUAAUUUGGCUAUCUUCAAUCCCAACAGAUUUUGGCAAGCUUAUUUCAGAUCCUGCUUCCAAUGCCAACAAUUCCUCAGUCAUUAUUCCAUUAUUGUCUUCCGCAACUGACAAUACUUCAUCUUCAUCACUUUCCUGAAUCACAUCAGUUGGAACUGAUAUGUUUCCAUUUUCUGGCAAUAUUUUCAGUGAAUCAGUUACUUGAACACCACCAUCUUCUGGUGCAGACAAGGUGGCAAAGUCCUCCUCAUUCUUAGUGUCGCUAGAACUUCCACAGCAUGCAGUAACAGCCUCAUCGGAUACCACCCUAGCAGGAUCAGACAACAAGCUCACAGUGUCUGUUACUAGCUUUCGUCGCGUAAUUUCCACAUGGGUUGCAAUACCUGAGCUAUCACACAUAGAAUUGCCUAAACUAAGCGUCAUUGCAACCGCUGGGGACAUCUCUUCCAUCAAUUCCACUCUCUGUGUCCAAUUAACAGUUCUAACUAUCUAUAUUUUUUUCACACGAUCCACCAAUUUUCAUCCUCAUCAUUUCCUUUCACAAUUAAACUUGCGGUAAAGCUUGCAGGUUCUAACAAUUCUCCUUCCAUCAUAUGACAUCUCAAUGACCCACCGAUAUUUUUUCAUCAAGGAGAUAUACAGAAACACAAUCUAUCUCCAAGGUCAAAUCGAAGAUACGCAAGCAGUUGAGCACAAGCAGAAUGGAAAACAAGUUAUCAGAUCUGGUGAGCAACAGUGGAUCUAACGUUCUAAUUAUCAGAUAUUUCAAGUCUUCGCAGGUAGUUUGAGUUAUCCUUAAAACUCCAGAACUUAUCAAAUUCUUUUCACCUUUUUCCAGAAAGUAACCCAAAUCCUAUCCCCACCACCUACCCUUAAGUACAUAAACCACAAAUGAAAAACAAGAAUACUAAAAUCUUCAUCUUUAAACCCAAUAAUAGAAAGCAGGAACAGUCAUGAGAAACAACCUUGGAAAAGGUAAAACCAACACCAGAAAAUCACAAGAAAAUCCUAAAAAGUUGAAACCUUUUCACCUAAAACUUGUGUUUCCUGGAUCUAAGGCAACCCCAUCUGAGGCUCUCUUGAAUUGAGGAUCUUUUAUUCCAUGUAUAUGCAGAGAAAAAAGAGAAAGAAAAGCAGGACAAUAUCUGGGUAUGGUAGACCCUCAAACAAUUAAUGGAAAGAAGAAAAAAUCACAGCUACUCAAAAAAUAAUUCUUGUAGGGUGAAGCUUACCCGUUUGAAACAGAAGAGACUUAAAAGAGACCAAGAACCUGAAAAUAUGGCAAGUUAGCCUCUUUUUCCAAAAUUUUUCUGGGCAAGGAGGCUUGAAAGAG
rnacentral:misc_RNA from 1 species